CGCGAAUGCAGUGAGAAUCUGCAUGGCCGAAAGCCUCAGGUUUCUGGAGGAAGGUUCGUCCGCUCCAGGUUAGUCGGGAGCUAAGGUGAGGCCUAACGGCGUAGCCGAUGCACAGACGGUAGAGAUUCCGUCACCACCAAAAGAGUUAAACACAGGGACACAUUUGAAGUCUCGGAGCCGGGUGUUGGUUCCGGUAGCGAUCGAGGGAAGUUAGUACCGAAGUCCGGGAUGGAAGAUGGCGAGAAAAGCUGUGUGUAUUUCUGCGGUGCCCGUACCGCAAACCGACACAGGUAGGUAGGAAGAAGAUUCUAAGGCCAACGGGAGAAGGGUUGUUAAGGAACUCGGCAAAUUGACCCCGUAACUUCGGGAGAAGGGGUGCUGCAGCGAUGCAGCCGCAGAGAAUCGGCCCAAGCAACUGUUUACCAAAACACAGGUUUGUGCUAAAUCGAAAGAUGACGUAUACGAGCUGACGCCUGCCCGGUGCUGGAAGGUUAAGAGGAGAUGUGCAAGCAUUGAAUCGAAGCCCCAGUGAACGGCGGCC
rnacentral:rRNA from 1 species